UGGCUCAGGACGAACGCUGGCGGCGUGCCUAAUACAUGCAAGUCGAACGGUCUUUCUAUGGAAGCUUGCUUCCACUGAGAAGAUAGUGGCGAACGGGUGAGUAACACGUGGGGUAACCUGCCCAUAAGAGGGGGGAUAACAUCCGGAAACGGGUGCUAAUACCGCAUAGUUUUCUUGGUCGCAUGAUCGGGAAAGGAAAGACGGCCUUUGUGCUGUCGCUUAUGGAUGGACCCGCGGCGUAUUAGUUAGUUGGUGAGGUAACGGCUCACCAAGACGAUGAUACGUAGCCGACCUGAGAGGGUGAUCGGCCACAUUGGGACUGAGACACGGCCCAAACUCCUACGGGAGGCAGCAGUAGGGAAUCUUCCGCAAUGGACGAAAGUCUGACGGAGCAACGCCGCGUGAGUGAAGAAAAGGUUUUCGGAUCGUAAAACUCUGUUGUCAGAGAAGAACAAGUUGGAGAGUAACUGCUCCAGCCUUGACGGUAUCUGACCAGAAAGCCACGGCUAACUACGUGCCAGCCGCAGC
rnacentral:rRNA from 1 species